UGUGACAUACCAAUUGUUGCCUCUGCGGAUCAGCCCGCUCCCGGUAAAACGGGACGGCCCGCCAGAGGACCCCUAAACUCUGUUUCUAUAUGUAACCUUCUGAGAAACCAUAAAUAAAUCAAAACUUUCAACAACGGAUCUCUUGGUUCUGGCAUCGGAUGAAGAACGCAGCAAAAUGCGAUAAGUUAAUGUGAAUUGCAGAAUUCAGUGAAUCAUCGAAUCUUUGAACGCACAUUGCGCCCGCCAGUAUUUCUGGCGGGCAUGCCUGUUCGAGCGUCAUUUCAACCCUCAAGCCCCCGGGUUUGGUGUUGGGGAUCGGCGAGCCCUUGCGGCAAGCCGGCCCCGAAAUCUAGUGGCGGUCUCGCUGCAGCUUCCAUUGCGUAGUAGUAAAACCCUCGCAACUGGUACGCGGCGCGGCCAAGCCGUUAAACCCCCAACUUCUGAAUCGGGUUGACCUCGGAUAAGGAAGGAAUACCC
rnacentral:misc_RNA from 1 species